AAACGACUCUCGGCAACGGAUAUCUCGGCUCUCGCAUCGAUGAAGAACGUAGCGAAAUGCGAUACUUGGUGUGAAUUGCAGAAUCCCGUGAACCAUCGAGUCUUUGAACGCAAGUUGCGCCCCAAGCCUUCGGGCCGAGGGCACGUCUGCCUGGGUGUCACGCAU
rnacentral:rRNA from 1 species